AGAGUUUGAUCCUGGCUCAGGAUGAACGCUGGCGGCGUGCUUAAUACAUGCAAGUCGAACGAGGUGCUUUUGUAGCAAUACGGAAGUAUCCUAGUGGCGAACGGGUGAGUAACGCGUUGGUGACCUGCCCCGAAGUGUGGGAUAACAGUCCGAAAGGAUUGCUAAUACCGCAUGUGGUCCCCGGGUUUAGAAACCGGUGACUAAAGCAGUAAUGCGCUUUGGGAGGGACCUGCGUCCCAUCAGCUAGUUGGUGAGGUAACGGCUCACCAAGGCGUCGACGGGUAGGGGACCUGAGAGGGUGAUCCCCCACAAUGGCACUGAAACACGGGCCAUACACCUACGGGUGGCAGCAGUAGGGAAUAUUGGGCAAUGGGCGAAAGCCUGACCCAGCAACGCCGCGUGUACGAUGAAGGUCUUCGGAUCGUAAAGUACUUUUCUGGGAGAUGAGAAAGGACAGUAUCCCAGGAAUAAGCUUCGGCUAACUACGUGCCAGCAGCCGCGGUAAAACGUAGGAAGCGAGCGUUAUCCGGAUUUACUGGGCGUAAAGCGCGUGUAGGCGGUUUGGUAAGUUGGAUGUGAAAUCUCUCGGCUCAACUGGGAGAGGUCGUUCAAAACUACCAGACUAGAGGACAGUAGAGGAAGGUGGAAUUCCCGGUGUAGUGGUGAAAUGCGUAGAUAUCGGGAGGAACACCAGUGGCGAAAGCGGCCUUCUGGACUGUAUCUGACGCUCAGACGCGAAAGCUAGGGGAGCGAACGGGAUUAGCGACCCCGGUAGUCCUAGCUGUAAACGAUGUAGACUUGGCGUCAGUGGGUUCAAAGCCAUCGGUGCCGUAGCUAACGCGAUAGUCUACCCGCUCUGGGGACUACCGCUCGCAAGGACAAACUCAAGGUGAAUACUCGG
rnacentral:rRNA from 1 species